CUGAGUACGGCGGAACACGUGAAAUUCCGUCGGAAUCCGGGAGGACCAUCUCCCAAGGCUAAAUACUCCCUAGUGACCGAUAGUGAACCAGUACCGUGAGGGAAAGGUGAAAAGCACCCCGGAAGGGGAGUGAAACAGUUCCUGAAACCGUGUGCCUACAAGUAGUUAGAGCCCGUUAAUGGGUGAUAGCGUGCCUUUUGUAGAAUGAACCGGCGAGUUACGAUUUGUUGCAAGGUUAAGCGGAAAAAGCGGAGCCGUAGCGAAAGCGAGUCUGAAUAGGGCGCAUAAGUAACAGGUCGUAGACCCGAAACCAGGUGAUCUACCCAUGUCCAGGAUGAAGGUAAGGUAAUACUUACUGGAGGUCCGAACCCACGCACGUUGAAAAGUGCGGGGAUGAGGUGUGGGUAGCGGAGAAAUUCCAAUCGAACUUGGAGAUAGCUGGUUCUCUCCGAAAUAGCUUUAGGGCUAGCCUCGAGGUAAAGAGUCAUGGAGGUAGAGCACUGUUUGGACUAGGGGCCCUUCUCGGGUUACCGAAUUCAGAUAAACUCCGAAUGCCAUGUACUUAUACUCGGGAGUCAGACUGCGAGUGAUAAGAUCCGUAGUCGAAAGGGAAACAGCCCAGACCACCAGUUAAGGUCCCCAAAUAUAUGUUAAGUGGAAAAGGAUGUGGGGUUGCUUAGACAACCAGGAUGUUGGCUUAGAAGCAGCCACCAUUGAAAGAGUGCGUAAUAGCUCACUGGUCGAGUGACCCCGCGCCGAAAAUGUACCGGGGCUAAACAUAUUACCGAAACUGUGGAUGAACCUCUUUAGAGGUUCGUGGUAGGAGAGCGUUCUAAGGGCGGUGAAGUCAGACCGGAAGGACUGGUGGAGCGCUUAGAAGUGAGAAUGCCGGUAUGAGUAGCGAAAGAAGGGUGAGAAUCCCUUCCACCGAAUAUCUAAGGUUUCCUGAGGAAGGCUCGUCCGCUCAGGGUUAGUCGGGACCUAAGCCGAGGCCGAUAGGCGUAGGCGAUGGACAACAGGUAGAGAUUCCUGUACCAGUGCUAAUUGUUUAACCGAUGGGGUGACACAGAAGGAUAGGGAAUCGCACGAAUGGAAAUGUGCGUCCAAGCAGUGAGUGUGAGAAGUAGGCAAAUCCGCUUCUCGCGAAGCAUGAGCUGUGAUGGGGAAGGAAAUUAAGUACGGAAGUUCCUGAUUUCACGCUGUCAAGAAAAGCCUCUAGGAAGAGUAGUACUGCCCGUACCGCAAACCGACACAGGUAGAUGAGGAGAGAAUCCUAAGGUGAGCGAGAGAACUCUCGUUAAGGAACUCGGCAAAAUGACCCCGUAACUUCGGGAGAAGGGGUGCUCUAUUAGGGUGCAAGCCCGAGAGAGCCGCAGUGAAUAGGCCCAGGCGACUGUUUAGCAAAAACACAGGUCUCUGCAAAACCGUAAGGUGACGUAUAGGGGCUGACGCCUGCCCGGUGCUGGAAGGUUAAGAGGAGUGCUUAGCUUCGGCGAAGGUACGAAUUGAAGCCCCAGUAAACGGCGGCCGUAACUAUAACGGUCCUAAGGUAGCGAAAUUCCUUGUCGGGUAAGUUCCGACCCGCACGAAAGGCGCAACGAUCUGGGCACUGUCUCAACGAGAGACUCGGUGAAAUUAUAGUACCUGUGAAGAUGCAGGUUACCCGCGACAGGACGGAAAGACCCCGUGGAGCUUUACUGCAACCUGAUAUGGAAUGUUUGUACCGCUUGUACAGGAUAGGUAGGAGCCGAAGAGACGUGUGCGCUAGCAUACGAGGAGGCAAUGGUGGGAUACUACCCUGGCUGUAUGACCAUUCUAACCCGCCACGCUUAGCGCGUGGGGAGACAGUGUCAGGUGGGCAGUUUGACUGGGGCGGUCGCCUCCUAAAGAGUAACGGAGGCGCCCAAAGGUUCCCUCAGAAUGGAUGGAAAUCAUUCGCAGAGUGUAAAGGCACAAGGGAGCUUGACUGCGAGACUGACAAGUCGAGCAGGGACGAAAGUCGGGCUUAGUGAUCCGGUGGUUCCGCAUGGAAGGGCCAUCGCUCAACGGAUAAAAGCUACCCCGGGGAUAACAGGCUUAUCUCCCCCAAGAGUCCACAUCGACGGGGAGGUUUGGCACCUCGAUGUCGGCUCGUCGCAUCCUGGGGCUGUAGUCGGUCCCAAGGGUUGGGCUGUUCGCCCAUUAAAGCGGCACGCGAGCUGGGUUCAGA
rnacentral:rRNA from 1 species